AGGAGAACCUGUGAUGAAGAGAGAUAAAAUGUUACCUGUUUUCCCCUGUGUGCCCUAAAAACUCUUUAAUUACAAGGCAGACUUCUACCAUGAAUAGAAACUUGGAUGGCAGUGGUAGCGGGUAAUGCAGUGGAAGAAAAAGAAAGGUUAGCUGGAUAAUGUGGAGACCCAUGGAAAGAUAAAAAGCUUAUUUCCUGCACUAGAUGCACAUCUUUAGCUGGAAAGUUUGCAGCCUGCUCAUACCAGAGGAGGCCAUGAUGCAUGCAGGCUAACCUCUAACAACCUUUAGAGUCAUCCGACUCCUGAAGCAGCAAAGCAACCCCAGACCAUCAUCCUACCACCACCGUGCAUUAAAAGGAGGACCACAGGAUGCCGUGUGAGAGGCUCACCACCAGCUGGCAGCCGUAGCGUUCCUCGGUGAUGCUGUAGCACUGAGACAACGUGGUGAAGAACUUGGCCAUGCACUGGUCCUGC